rnacentral:tRNA from 1 species
AAUACUGGUGGUGCGCGUGGCCUUCAGAGGGCGGCCCGCUGCGCGCUUGCAUUAGUGCACCCUAUGCGGGUUCG